CUAGCAGUGGCUAGGUAAUUCAAAGGAAAUAUAAAAAUCUGAUGGUGGGCAGGUGGGGUGUAGUUUGCUCCUUACAAAUGUUGUUAUAGCUGUGUGUCUGACCUAGGAAGUUGUGGUGAACGUGCAGCAGGUGAAUUCAUUCAGAAUGUGCUGGUAUCAGCACUUGGAUCUGAGGAGGACACGUAGCUCAUAGAAUCACUGAAUGGUUUGGGUGGGAACAGACCUUAAAGACCAUCUGGUUCCACCCCCCUGCCAUGGACAGGGACAGCUUCCACUUGAGCAGGUUUCUCACAUGCCCACUUCCCACUCAGAGUUCCCAUAGUCCUCAAAUCUCUGCUCCAAAGUAAAAAACCUUUAUUUUUUAAGUAACUGACAUGCAGUGGGCUUGCUGAUAGCAUUUGAAGCCCCCCAGUGACUAUAUCUACCUCUCAGUGUUAAAGGUGACAAAAUGUGGGCAGGAGUUCACCUCAGAGGACUGAAACCUGGUGGUGAGGUGAGAGCUGUCCUAGCUGGUGGCUGUUUACUCAGCUGAAGCCCGUGGGUGAGCAUUUGUGUUUGUCAAAAGAAAUUCAUUGCUCAUUGUGUGCAUUCAGGAAGGAAUUCCUCCCUGUGAGGGUGGUGGGGCCCUGGCACAGGGUGCCCAGAGAAGCUGUGGCUGCCCCUGGAUCCCUGGAAAUGUCCAAGACCAGGGCUUGGAGCAGCCUGGGCUAGUGGAAGGUGGCCCUGCCCAUGGCAGUGGCUGCAAUGGGAUGAGCUUUAAGAUCCCUUCCAACCCACACCAUUCUGGGAUUCUGUGGAAGGUUUGAAGGUGGCAGUGUGGUUGGCACAUUAGAUUCCCUGUUUCUCUUUGCCAAAAAGAGUUAAAACUUCAUUAUUCUGCAACAAAAUGAAUCCUUGCAUAAAGCAGGAGGGUUCAGCUCACACAGUGGAGCUGUGUGGGCUCCUGCUGUGACCAGCUGAGAGGGUUCCAUGGCACAGACACCUUGCUGCAGGUGGGGAACACCUGAAGGUUAAAGCUUGUAAAGCUGGUGUGUAGCUCCUGGGAUAGACUUCCCUGAAAAACUCCAUUGUGUCCCUGAAUGAACACUCCUGUUGGCAGGAUGUGCAGUAGUGGCCAGUAGCAAUGUUUUUCUGAGCAGUUGUGUUUUUUCAGCCUGAAACAUUUACUAUAAAACAUGUUCCUUGGGGAGUCUCAGAGCUCUACAGGUGUUAUGCAUGUAGGUAAAGUAUUAAAGAUUUUUUUUAAAAAA